rnacentral:rRNA from 1 species
ACCGAGAUUCCCCCAGUAGCGGCGAGCGAACGGGGAGGAGCCCAGAGCCUGAAUCAGUGUGUGUGUUAGUGGAAGCGUCUGGAAAGGCGCGCGAUACAGGGUGACAGCCCCGUACACAAAAAUGCACAUACUGUGAGCUCGAUGAGUAGGGCGGGACACGUGGUAUCCUGUCUGAAUAUGGGGGGACCAUCCUCCAAGGCUAAAUACUCCUGACUGACCGAUAGUGAACCAGUACCGUGAGGGAAAGGCGAAAAGAACCCCGGCGAGGGGAGUGAAAAAGAACCUGAAACCGUGUACGUACAAGCAGUGGGAGCCUCUUAAUGGGGUGACUGCGUACCUUUUGUAUAAUGGGUCAGCGACUUAUAUUCUGUAGCAAGGUUAACCGAAUAGGGGAGCCGAAGGGAAACCGAGUCUUAACUGGGCGUUAAGUUGCAGGGUAUAGACCCGAAACCCGGUGAUCUAGCCAUGGGCAGGUUGAAGGUUGGGUAACACUAACUGGAGGACCGAACCGACUAAUGUUGAAAAAUUAGCGGAUGACUUGUGGCUGGGGGUGAAAGGCCAAUCAAACCGGGAGAUAGCUGGUUCUCCCCGAAAGCUAUUUAGGUAGCGCCUCGUGAAUUCAUCUCCGGGGGUAGAGCACUGUUUCGGCAAGGGGGUCAUCCCGACUUACCAACCCGAUGCAAACUGCGAAUACCGGAGAAUGUUAUCACGGGAGACACACGGCGGGUGCUAACGUCCGUCGUGAAGAGGGAAACAACCCAGACCGCCAGCUAAGGUCCCAAAGUCAUGGUUAAGUGGGAAACGAUGUGGGAAGGCCCAGACAGCCAGGAUGUUGGCUUAGAAGCAGCCAUCAUUUAAAGAAAGCGUAAUAGCUCACUGGUCGAGUCGGCCUGCGCGGAAGAUGUAACGGGGCUAAACCAUGCACCGAAGCUGCGGCAGCGACACUAUGUGUUGUUGGGUAGGGGAGCGUUCUGUAAGCCUGUGAAGGUGUACUGUGAGGUAUGCUGGAGGUAUCAGAAGUGCGAAUGCUGACAUAAGUAACGAUAAAGCGGGUGAAAAGCCCGCUCGCCGGAAGACCAAGGGUUCCUGUCCAACGUUAAUCGGGGCAGGGUGAGUCGACCCCUAAGGCGAGGCCGAAAGGCGUAGUCGAUGGGAAACAGGUUAAUAUUCCUGUACUUGGUGUUACUGCGAAGGGGGGACGGAGAAGGCUAUGUUGGCCGGGCGACGGUUGUCCCGGUUUAAGCGUGUAGGCUGGUUUUCCAGGCAAAUCCGGAAAAUCAAGGCUGAGGCGUGAUGACGAGGCACUACGGUGCUGAAGCGACAAAUGCCCUGCUUCCAGGAAAAGCCUCUAAGCAUCAGGUAACAUCAAAUCGUACCCCAAACCGACACAGGUGGUCAGGUAGAGAAUACCAAGGCGCUUGAGAGAACUCGGGUGAAGGAACUAGGCAAAAUGGUGCCGUAACUUCGGGAGAAGGCACGCUGAUAUGUAGGUGAAGCGACUUGCUCGUGGAGCUGAAAUCAGUCGAAGAUACCAGCUGGCUGCAACUGUUUAUUAAAAACACAGCACUGUGCAAACACGAAAGUGGACGUAUACGGUGUGACGCCUGCCCGGUGCCGGAAGGUUAAUUGAUGGGGUUAGCGGUAACGCGAAGCUCUUGAUCGAAGCCCCGGUAAACGGCGGCCGUAACUAUAACGGUCCUAAGGUAGCGAAAUUCCUUGUCGGGUAAGUUCCGACCUGCACGAAUGGCGUAAUGAUGGCCAGGCUGUCUCCACCCGAGACUCAGUGAAAUUGAACUCGCUGUGAAGAUGCAGUGUACCCGCGGCAAGACGGAAAGACCCCGUGAACCUUUACUAUAGCUUGACACUGAACAUUGAGCCUUGAUGUGUAGGAUAGGUGGGAGGCUUUGAAGUGUGGACGCCAGUCUGCAUGGAGCCGACCUUGAAAUACCACCCUUUAAUGUUUGAUGUUCUAACGUGGGCCCCUUACCGGGGUUGCGGACAGUGUCUGGUGGGUAGUUUGACUGGGGCGGUCUCCUCCUAAAGAGUAACGGAGGAGCACGAAGGUUGGCUAAUCCUGGUCGGACAUCAGGAGGUUAGUGCAAUGGCAUAAGCCAGCUUGACUGCGAGCGUGACGGCGCGAGCAGGUGCGAAAGCAGGUCAUAGUGAUCCGGUGGUUCUGAAUGGAAGGGCCAUCGCUCAACGGAUAAAAGGUACUCCGGGGAUAACAGGCUGAUACCGCCCAAGAGUUCAUAUCGACGGCGGUGUUUGGCACCUCGAUGUCGGCUCAUCACAUCCUGGGGCUGAAGUAGGUCCCAAGGGUAUGGCUGUUCGCCAUUUAAAGUGGUACGCGAGCUGGGUUUAGAACGUCGUGAGACAGUUCGGUCCCUAUCUGCCGUGGGCGCUGGAGAACUGAGGGGGGCUGCUCCUAGUACGAGAGGACCGGAGUGGACGCAUCACUGGUGUUCGGGUUGUCAUGCCAAUGGCACUGCCCGGUAGCUAAAUGCGGAAGAGAUAAGUGCUGAAAGCAUCUAAGCACGAAACUUGCCCCGAGAUGAGUUCUCCCUGACUCCUUGAGAGUCCUGAAGGAACGUUGAAGACGACGACGUUGAUAGGCCGGGUGUGUAAGCGCAGCGAUGCGUUGAGCUAACCGGUACUAAUGAACCGUGAGGCUUAACCUU